AUGUCCUGGACCCUGGAAAAGAGACUGUGUAGACUGGGUAUUGAAGACACGUUUUCUAAGAGGAUGAAAGUUGGCAUUGCGAUGGUGAAAGAAGAAGACAUCAUCGAUGUGUUGGUUGUCCUUGAGGCGGCAGUAAUCCUGUCUAAUCUGAGGGAUGUCUCAAGUGCCAUUUCCAUGCUGAUGGGCCUUCUUUUUGCCCUCAACAUAGACUAUCCAAAGGAACUUAAGGACAUCUUUGAAGUCAUUCAGAACAUCCUAAUGAACAUUGGUGGAAGGCAGUGCAUCUCACUAGUGCAUGGUCUAAGAAACAGACUCUUGCAGAAAGCCAUGCAGAACUGUAAUUGUAUGUUCCUUAGUGUUAAGGACAGUUUUUAUUUUACUGUUUGUUUUUUUAUUCUUGCAAGUUCUCAUUCUCACUUUUGUAUGUCACUAAAUGACUACACUUUACAUUCCAGAUUAGACAAUUACUCAUUUGUUCAUGGUUUAAGAAACUUAUGUGAACAACAAUAUAAUGCUGGACUUUGCAGAUGCUUAUCUCAUGCAAGUCAGUAGUUUUUCCUUUGUUUUGCAAUUGAGCAGACUCAAACUGAUGUUUCUGAAAUAUCCAUCUUAUCAAAUGUUUCAGAAGCAUGCACUCAUUUUCAGAGAUAUUGGUUCUGUGGAAUUUGUUGCAAUUGUAAACGAAGACAAAUACAAGAGUUUGAUGUCUUAGUUGUUAUAAACUGAUCUUUACUGUCACUUAUCAAAGGUUUUGUACUAUUUUAAUAUUUCAAGUUUUAUGCUAACAGGUGUGACUGAGCACAAUGAAGUUUAAAAAUUUUGUAAAUGUAAAGAAUAACUUUUCUAAAAUAGCAAGUGUCCCGUUGAUACAUUACAUUAAUGCAGACUUUAUGAUGUUACUUCACAAGAAUCACUACUGCUCCUAGAGUAUUGGUCAGAAUUUAAUCUUCACCCAAACUGGGCUCAAGACCAAGUUCAAAUUUAUUGUUUCACUGGGAGCAGCCUUUGAGUUUUGAUGGAUUGUGAGCCUGAUGAGCUACGUCACUGAUUUUUCUGUUUCUCAGAUGACUAAGAUGGCACAAUAAAUGGUGAAUGUUGGGUGCUCAUGAGUAAUUGUCUUGUCAUGUUCUUAAAACAAACUUUCUGUAUGAAAUGAUCAGAUAGACUUUAAUGGAAUCUGUGGGGUUUUAUUUUUUUUUCUGUAAACAACAGAAAAUUAAUUUAAAGGAAUGUAGAUAUUUAAACCUGAGAUCUAAGAUAAACCUAACAGGUAGUUUUGCUGAAAUGGAUGUUAGAAAGCUAAAAAAACAAAACAAAACUUAAGAUGUUUAAUACACAUUUUUCUUUACAUCCAGUCAAUCAACUCUGAUAAUUAAAAUGAAAAUGAUUUACAAGUUCACUCAGCUACCUUAAGGAGCUCAGUUAAUUAAUAAACUUAAAUCAACUUAGCUAACAGGUUAUGUUAGUUAAGCUAAAAUAGAUUCCUAAGUUAAAAGAACUACUAAAGUAUUUGAAUUAACUAAAAAACCCAAGUCAACUGAACUAGGACAAGAGUUUAAACAACAGAUUAUUUUAAUUUAGCUGAAAGGGUUUUCCCAAGUAAAAAUGACAAUUAAAGGAGUUGAACUGACUAACAAAUCUCAGUCAACUAAACUAAGACGAAAGUUUAGACAACAUGUGAUUUUUCAUUAAGAUAACAAUUGGUUGUGUUAUAAGAACAAACUCUAUUUCUUGACUUAACUUAAAAUUUUAAGGCAGCCCUUUACCUCAUAUUUUUAAGUUGAAACAACAAGUUAUAUUUUACAGUGUGGGGCUUCUGUUUAAGACUAUGCUUCCUCCUCACCGUCACCCAGCCGCCCUCUUUCCCCAGCUGCUUGGGGUCUGCCGGGGAACAGCUAGCGGGGCCUACGCUAUCUUCGGCUGCACCAGCUACAGGGGCCUGGCUAGCUACGGGUGAAUGAAGGGUGCGAAGCCGAGUCUCCAAUUCAGUAAUCCUGGCCUCCAGAGCUGCAAAUAUGCUACAUUUGUUACAGGUAUCAUUACUGCUAAAGGAGGCCGAGGAGUAACUAAACAUCUGACACAAUGAGCGGGAAAGUGCAGGAGGGACAGGUGAAGUAGCCAUGGUGCUAACGAGUCGGCUACGAGCUAAGCUAAGCUAGCGAAACAGUACAGAGACAGUGAGUGAAUACUUUGGCUAUAAAUUAGGUAGUGAGUACACAGAAAGGGUGCUUCAGAUGAAGCACGUUAAGAUUAUACUAUGAAAAAGGAAUGUAUCAAAAGAUUUUAAUUAAAUUGCUAAGCAGAAAAGCUACUCAGAAACACCACUGUGUUUGAGCAGGAACAGGAAGUGAUACUCUGCCAAAUCCUCCCUUAUUCAUGCUGCAAUAGACUUAGGCUGCUGGGGGCUUCCCAUGAUGCACUCAGUAUUUCUCCUCAUCUCACCCCUUCUCACUCACCGUGUGUUUAAACACCACUCUGCAUUGAAUUAUGAGUUAUUAAUUUCUGGCUCUAUUCCACAGCAUCUCCUUUGUCCCGUCUUCCUCCCCUCAACGACAACCAGGCGUAGGAGAUGG
rnacentral:lncRNA from 1 species